rnacentral:lncRNA from 1 species
AGAUAAUUAGGUUUAUAUGAGGUCAGAGUGAGAUUAUAAAAAUACGACACAGAGCCUGCUCUUUCCCUGCCAUGUGAAGACCCAGAAAGAAGGUAGCUGUCUGCACACACUGAAGCAAGCUCUUCCGUGAACCUGCCAAGUCCUCAAACCUCUUAAACUGGGAAACCAGCUCCUGUUGUUUCAUUGUCCCAGUCGAUGGUGGUACCCUGUUGUGAUAAGUUGGAUUUGGCAAAGAUACACUCCAUGUGACGAUGUCACAGACUCCUGGUCUAUGACAGGUUGAGCCUUUAGGUCUUCUGCCUGGAAUCUUGUGUGGCUGUUUUCUGUCCAGUGAUCUUUCUCCAUGGCAUUCUUGCAAGCUAACAGGAGAUGUGUGAUCAGAGAUGAAACAGCUGGUCUGGAGCCGCACAGAGAGCUGGGACCAGAGCUGAGGUAUGGAGCCGGAUCUCCUGCUUUCCAACUUGGUGCUUCUUGUGGAUACCCCAUGGCUUCUGGGCGUGUCUGCUCUCUAGCUCGUCAUUUUACUUUUCUGCCUAUCUGCGGUGGCCUAAAUCUCUACUGCCAUAGCACACACAUUCACAAGAUUAAAUUGUUUUUGCUAUUUGAGAAAACACACAGUGUAAUACUAAAACGGCACAAGAGGGCACACACUUGCAAUAAAAGUCUCCUUCAUCCUCCUGUCCUUCAGCUUUCCAGUUCAUUCUCUCUCUCUCUCUC